GAUGAACGCUGGCGGCGUGCCUAAUACAUGCAAGUCGAGCGAACAGACGAGGAGCUUGCUCCUCUGACGUUAGCGGCGGACGGGUGAGUAACACGUGGAUAACCUACCUAUAAGACUGGGAUAACUUCGGGAAACCGGAGCUAGUACCGGAUAAUAUAUUGAACCGCAUGGUUCAAUAGUGAAAGACGGUUUUGCUGUCACUUAUAGAUGGAUCCGCGCCGCAUUAGCUAGUUGGUAAGGUAACGGCUUACCAAGGCAACGAUGCGUAGCCGACCUGAGAGGGUGAUCGGCCACACUGGAACUGAGACACGGUCCAGACUCCUACGGGAGGCAGCAGUAGGGAAUCUUCCGCAAUGGGCGAAAGCCUGACGGAGCAACGCCGCGUGUGUGAUGAAGGUCUUCGGAUCGUAAAACUCUGUUAUUAGGGAAGAACAAAUGUGUAAGUAACUAUGCACGUCUUGACGGUACCUAAUCAGAAAGCCACGGCUAACUACGUG
rnacentral:rRNA from 1 species